GUAUUUUCUAACUAGUUUUAGGAUGAAAAAAAGACAUAAAAUUUAAUUUUGUGGUAGACAAGAGUGUUAGAGAAAGUCAGCUUCUUUCAGUCUGUCAGUUUUCCUGGAGCCUUAACAAACUGUUAAGUACUUUGUGACGGAGCAAGGAGUUUACAAGCCCUGAGGGCCCAGCUCCAAUUGAGCAUGUGUUUCACCAAGUCUACAUUGAGGAACCAGGAUCCCCAUCGUGAUGCGCCAGUGAGAAAGAGUAACUGCUUAAAAGUUCCUUAAAGAAGGCUGAUUUCGGUCACUGAUGAUCCACCUCGGCGAGAAGGAUAAGAGAGUUGUAGUGGAUGAAAAUGAUUUUCUGUGUUACCGACAAAUUAUCAGCCCAUUCUAUCUGUGACGAGUGUCCUGAGAUGAAGCAAUGAAAUCACUGCCUAUAAAGUCUGUCCAAACAGGGCUGUAUUAAAGAGCAUUCAAAAAACUGCCAAACUUGACAUUCUGCUGGUGAAUAUAGGAUCACUGUAAAAUCUUAGCAUUUCAUGCAUUCCAGUCAAGCCCUCAGACAUGGCAGAGGUGGUGGUCUGGCUGGCUUCUGGCAUUGCAUAGCAGAAUGAUUUUCAUGCUGAAACAAUGUGGCACCAUUCUAGAGAAGUUAUGUUCCUCUAUAAAUUUUACUCAAAAAUGAAUACGUCCUGUUAAGUCUUCCAGGAUUGUUUUGAAACUUUUGUCCAUAUAUAUCUGAAACCAAAAUACUUCCCCCAUAGUACCAAUAAAAUUGCCCAGAUCUUUGAGACUU
rnacentral:lncRNA from 1 species